UGAGGAAUAUUGGUCAAUGGGCGAGAGCCUGAACCAGCCAUGCCGCGUGAAGGAUGAAGGCGUUCUGCGUUGUAAACUUCUUUUAUCAGGGAAGAAAAACACGGUUUCUACUGUGUCCGACGGUACCUGAGGAAUAAGCACCGGCUAACUCCGUGCCAGCAGCCGCGGUAAUACGGAGGGUGCAAGCGUUAUCCGGAUUCACUGGGUUUAAAGGGUGCGCAGGCGGACUUUUAAGUCAGCGGUGAAAUCUCCGGGCUCAACCCGGAAACUGCCGUUGAUACUAUUGGUCUUGAAUAUCGUUGAGGCUGGCGGAAUACAUCAUGUAGCGGUGAAAUGCUUAGAUAUGAUGUAGAACACCGAUUGCGAAGGCAGCUGGCUAAACGAUGAUUGACGCUCAGGCACGAAAGCGUGGGGAUCAAACAG
rnacentral:rRNA from 1 species